GGUGGGGUACGGCGGUGGGCGGCGACGGUGGAGAAAAACGUCUGGGAAACCUGGCCUUGAUGAAGGGGAAUAACUACUGAAAACGGUAGUUAAAACCGAAAAACGUUUGAAGACCAAGGAGGGAAACCUUCGGGCCUCUUGCCAUCGCAUGUACCCAUAUGCCCUUAGCUAAUAAGUGAGGUAACGGCUCACCUAGUCAACGAUCCCUAGAUGGUCAGACAGGAUGACCGGCCACUCUGGAACUGAGACACUGACCAAACUCCUACACUAGGACGCAGGGGAGAAUAUUGCUCAAUGCCCGAAUGCCUGAUGCACCCAUGCCGCGUGUAUGAAGAAGGCCUUCGGGUUGUAAAGUACUUUCACUGUGGAGGAAGGGAAUAAGGUUAAUAACCUUGUUAAUUGACGUCCCCCGCAGAACAAACCCCGAAAAACUCCGUGACAUACGCCGCGGAAAUACGGAGGGUGCAAGCGUUAAUCGGAAUUACUGGAAUUAUUGCGCACGCAGGGGGCCUGGCAAGUUUCUUGAGAAAUCCCCGAACUCCCCCUGGUAACUGCAUUCGAAACUGGGAGGCUAGAGUCUUGUAGAGGGCAGAUAGAAUUCCAGGUGUACCGUGUAAAUGCGUAAAGAUGCUGAAGAGAUUACCGGGGACGAAGGUGGCCCCCUGGACUAACACUGACUGCUCAGUGAGCGAGAGCGUGGGAGAGCAAGGAGGAUUAGAUACCCUGAGAUACCCACGCCGUACACGAUGUCGACUUGGGAGUGUGUGCCCUUGAGAGCGUGUUCUUGCCGUAUUAUAACGCGUUAUGUCGACUGACUGGACUAGUACGGCCGCAGUGGGUACGACUCGUAUGAAUCUGACGGGGAAUCUCGACGCGAGCGGCGGGACGACAUGGUGGUUUACAUUCGAUGCUAACGCGAAGACCCUCACCAUACUCUUGACCAUGCACUAGACUUCCUCAGGAGCAUGCUUAGGUGUCCUUCCGUGCAUCUCUCAGACAGGAGGCUGACAUGCUGUCGAUCAGCUCGCCGUCGGCUACAUGCUGGGAUUAUGUCCGCUAACGGAGCCGCCAACCGUAUCAUUCGUUGCUCGUGAGUAGCCUCCGAUAUCUUCAAGGCAUUCUCUGGCCAAACUGGAGGAAGGUGGGGAUGACGUCAAGUCAUCAUGGCCCUUACGAGUAGGGCUACACACGUGUUCCAAUGGCGCAUACAAAGAGAAGCGACCUCGCGAGAGCAAGCGGACCUCAUAAAGUGCUUCGUAGUCCGGAUUGGAGUCUGCAACUCGACUCCAUGAAGUCGGAAUCGUUAGUAAUCGUGGAUCAGAAUGCCCCGGUGAAUACGUUCCCGGGCCUUGUCACCACACCGCCCUCUCCACCCCCUAUGGGAGAGUUGGUUGGAU
rnacentral:rRNA from 1 species